UCCGUCCCCAAUCCCCCAAACCUCUGUCGCUGGGUCUCCGGCGAGCUCUCCGGCCAUGGCCAACCUGAGAGCCAACGCCAGCACUGGCCAUCUCCGCGUCUACGGUACGUCGCUGUCUGAUGAUGGCGCCCUGCCGCGGGAGGAGAGGGAGCAGGACACAUCACUCCUCCUCCGCAAGAUCGAGCUCCACCGUGACGAAGCCGUCAAGCUGCUCGCCUCGCACCCCGAUCUGCUACGGUUCCUCGAUGCGGCGACCUCCGUCGGCCUGCUCGACCCGGUCUCCAACAUAGUCGUCAGCGCCAUGCUUGCCGCCGCCGCAGAUCCCGUCGACGGGGCCUCGGCGCUCGUCGGCGUCGACAAGGACAUGAAGCAGCGCUCCCUCGAUGGCCUCGUCGCCUUCCUCACAUGCUUCUUCCCUCACCUCAUCGACUGGGAGGCCGUCAGGUACCUUGUCCUCGCCCAAGCCGACCCCCUCGUUGCGGCGCGCAUCGUCGUCGAGGACCGCCGCACCAAGUGCUUCCGCCCAGGCUCCGCGGCCACCAACGGCGCCCUCAAGCUCGCUCUAAAGUGCGCAAUGGUGGCCGCCAAGCAUCCGUGUCCCUCCGAGCUCGCAGGCGUUUGGCUGUCCUUGUGCUCCUCCCUUGAUACCCUCGAGAAGGCCGUCUCCUUGCUCUCGGCGGUGCGGCCCAAUUCCCCCGGCGACAUCCUCCACACUCUGGCCAAGCAGAUGCCAGUUGUCCCUUGUCCUGCUCCUGAUGCCAUUGGCAGCAGCCUCAUCAGGCCAUGGGAGCUUGCUGCCCGUCGCAGUAAGCACGCUGCCAAGGUGACCCAUCAGUAUUCCUGGUCACUGAGGCGAGUGCUCCUACAUACGAUCCAUGGUUUCUACCUGCAGGCACUCGCCAGGAUGCCGGGCGGCGAGCUGCGGUCUCGUUACCACCGUAGCAUGCUCAAGGCUGGCCAUUGCUACGGCCCUUUUGAUCCUGUCACCAACAUCAUCGUCAACACCAUCUGGUACGAAGCCACAUUCCCACCACUGAGUCAACUGGACGAGCUCGACAUUCUCGGCACCUUGAACCUGAUGCGGAUUGAAGCACAAUCCUUCUACGGACUUGUCUCUUUCCUCUGCACCCAUGACAAAGAUCUCAACGCCGAUCAGGCCAUAAGGUUCCUGCUCGACACGGAUCUCAACUUGGCCGCGACAAAGCAGUGCAGCAGUGUCCAGGAAGAACAAGAAGCCUUCAGGGCUGCUGCAACUGCGGCAUGGCACCCCAGACCUGAUGCCCAAGCAGCAUUCCUCAGCUCUUGCAAGACGCCUGCUGUCCUGUCACUGCUGUCAGAUAAUGGGGGCCAACAACAGCUCUCUUCUCAGUGUGUCCACCAGCUUGCCAUGCUAUUGUCACCUGCUUUUCGUUCCACUGGCAUGUUAGCCCAGCAGAAGCGACCAGUUGCCAUUUAUGAACGACGGUUCCAUCUUACCAUGGACGAGGGACACAUACAGCGAAGGGCUCGUAGAAGAAUCUCCAGAAAGGUCAAGGCUGCACUAAGCAGAUAUGAGGUGCAGAAUUCAGAACAAGCCUGUCAUCAGCUUCUUGUGGUCUGCGGUGUGAAUACAUAUGUGUCUGGUCCUGACGAGAGUAUGCACUCCAUCAUGAUGCAAAAGAAAAAAGAUCCUGUUGAAGAUGACUACUACCAUCACACACAUGCCAACUUUCUGGUGACCCGGAAUGUUGGCUCUGUAGGUUCAGUUCCAGUACUCUUCUUUGCUGAGCUUAGCAACAAGAACGACGACCAGGAUAGCCAGCUUCUAUGCUGCCCUGUGGAGUUUCCACUACCUGGGGCUGAACCAGUGCGCUGCCUUUUCUGCGAGCAAGAAGGGAUCAGGAUUGUACACCCUGCUAGUGGGGAGGGAUUCCAUGGGCACCAGGUGGAGUUUGUGAAGAUGGUUCGCGGCGAAGAUUUAUUCGAAAAUGUCGACUAUCCAGAGGAGUAUGACAAUGAUCGCAUACUAACUAAAAGUGAAUAUGUUACAAACACUGUGGCCGAUGGAUUCGACGAGGACUGCAUGUACCUUGGUAGCGAUGACUUCACCAUCAAGGAAUCCGACGGUCAUGAAUCGGAUUAUUAUGGAGAGGAGUAGUAUAUACAGUGACGGUCUUCUGAAAGGAGGUGAUAAAACCAAGCUUGAGGAAGCGGUCAAUCAGUUGAUGGCGAUGGCGAUGGUGACGUCGCUUGCUGGUAAGAUACUUGAUGCUCCGGCUGGAGCCGACAGGGUGCCUGGAGCUGGUGAUCAAGGAGUCUUGCAUGUUGCUGAUGCCUGAAGCUGUGCUGUGGUAGCAGGUUUUCGCCCCGUGGGAGUGCUUCGAUGCCGAUCACUCAGAGCGUGUUUCCCCCAACUUGCUACCUCUCUUUUCCAGCUUGUUGCUCUUGUACGAACUAAAUAUACAGGUUGAGCGAUUAAUGGAAAGGGG